rnacentral:lncRNA from 1 species
GGCAUACCCAACAAUUUGACCUUUCAUCAGUUAAGCGAUGCUAAAAACAAAAGCAGCCUGGAUGUGCAACUGUGGGUUGAGGGGAGGCUGCCCGCAAAGACCAGGGUAGUUUCUCAUCAAGGGUUUGCCUUUGAAUUUGCAGAGUGCCUUCUUUCCCUGGGUUCUCCCUUUUCGGAGAGCCGAGGUCCCCGUCAGAUCUCCUAGUGGGUGAUAAAUUCCCCCCAUGAAGCUCACGUCCCAGGCGGAGGGGCCUGGAGCAUCCACCAGCAGCGCUUUGUGAUGAUGGAUGCGAACGAGUGCUCCCGGCAGGCUCAUGUUUAUUCAUUUUUGAUGAGGUGUGCACGCAGCCAAGGGCAGCUGAGCUGUCUUACAAUACACGGGGGUCACCUAACAUCGGAUUUAUCUCCGACCUUUGAGUGUCUACAGGCAGGCUGGUGGCUGCUGCAUGCACAGCGUACACGGUCCUCCAGCAAACCACAGCUGCAUUCUCUGGACCCUGGGAAUCUGCCAAGCGAUAUUGGCUGUCAGGAAGCCCAGGAAAAUCGCAGCGGUGGGACCGAGGGGCACCUGCGGCUACAUAUUAAGGUCACGCGUUGGAAGGUUGGUUCCUGCAGUUCUGGGCGGGGUCCAGGUGGGAGAAUGGCUGGGGACUCCAAACGCUGACCCUGGCCAUCCCAUACCAUCCAGCCAGCCCCACCCAAAUGGACGUUGGGGCCCAAAUCCCACUUGUGUUUUCCAAAACGGCAGACAGAAACUGCAAGCCCCAUCUUAAUCCUGGCUUGCAAGUAAGGCCAUGGCCUCCUGCCCUCAUCGUCAGGCUAUUCUUGAUUUUCCCUGCCAAAAAGUGGGGUGGCUGUUGCCACACUUUGUCCAACAGCAGUCAUGCCUCCCCACAAGAGAUGGCUGCACAGAUGAGAGCCACGGUGCCUGGAGCUGGGGAGUCGGCCCUGUAGACGAACUUGAAAUUCACCUGAAGAAAAGCUGCUAAGUGAACACCAGCUGCUGCCGGCACAGCCAGGGCCACUGCGUCCCUGCAGCCCGAAGAAAUCCACUUCUGCCCUUGGUGCUGGAGCCAAUCCCACUGGCAGUGCACAGGCAUCAAUGCUAUGACUUCCAUGAAAACAGCCAUGGGCUCAGGCGGACAGACUCCCUACAGAGGGAGGAUGAUGGCAUGGCUGAUGCUGGCCGAGGUCCACUGAAUUCAGAGUCCACAUGGAGGACGGAGCUGAGGCCUAGGGCUCACAGAGGCCACAUCCGCAGAACUGUUGCUUCCGGAGGGCCAGCCCAGGCAGGACUAGGGACUCCAGGAGGGAUCCCAUCCCCCUGCAGAGCCCUGAGAACCCCCUCCGCCCCAGAUCGCCACUCUCCACACACAGCUCCUGGCUGACCAGAUCUUACCCUCGAUGGGGUGUUGGGAAUCUGCCGGCCACAGUGGCAGGAAGCUGCUCACAGCUCACUGUCAGGAAAGGGUGAAAGAGGCAUGAAUCCGAAGACAGCAGAGUCUGGGCCCAGCUUCCGCUUCCCCUGGGAGUGUGGUUACACUUGCCAGGGUGGGGGUGCUGUCUUGAGCAAAGCCUGGAGAAGGGUGAGAAGCAUCCCUCACCCGCACACCCGGUCAGUCUGUAUGUCCAGACGACUGCUCCCUGGCAGCCCACGCAGUGCUGGCACCACAGUCUGUAUGGACCGUGCCCUUUGGGCAUGACGCCACCAUCUCAUAAGCUGCACCCAGGGUCCCUGUGGAUGUGCUUGAUCAGAGAAAAUUGGGACAAUGUGAUGGAGGCAAAGAAGGGGCCGGUCAAGCCAGCACCUGGAGCCACAGUGGUGUGGGAGGCAGGGAGCAUGGGGCCACCCCACCCUCAGGAAGGCUGAGAGGGUCUUGGGCAACCAGGUAUGUGGAGAAACAGUCGGCCGGGAUGGCCCUGCUCACGGAGCCCUCGAUGCACAUCCCGCCCACCCUGGGGCUCCGCAUGCAGCAUUUCUAUGCACACCAUCCUCACCAUUCUGUGAGCCAGGGACCACCAUGACAUGACCCUGAGAACACACGGUGAAUCCAGAUUUUAGAAGCCAAAGCAGUGCCCUGUGGAACCAGCUGCCCCUGCUGGAGGCUGUCGUGGGGCGUGCUCACCACUGGGGCCCAUGUGCAUGCUGUGGAGUCUGAUGGUGCUGGGUUGUCCAGGCUGCCAGCACCUGCUGGCCACUGCUGUCCAGGGCAACUCCUCCUGUGUACAUUCCCCCAGCCCCAUGAGAGAAAAAGAGACUGGGGUCAGAGAGGUGAAAUGGCACACCCAAGGUUAAGCAGCCUGGGAGCUUCACUGCUGUAGGAUCAAAGCCCAGGUCUUCAGAGAAGGUUGCACUGCAUGUCUGCACUCCAGGGGGAUGCUGGAUCCACCAGCAGGCCCGGGUGCCUUCCACCAGCACCCGCCUGUUCUCAUCAGAGCACCGUCCGCCAGCCCCUCUCUCCAGUCUGUCCUUGGGACAACCCUGGGAAGCCAGUGGGACAGGUGUUCCAGGAGGACCCCUGUCCAGCGAAGCUCAGGGCUGCGGCAGGCCGGCGGCAGGUCAGGUCCUUCCUUCACCCUCGGGGAUGGUGCCUGCCAUAGCCCUGGGCCUCCUGGAACCCACGUUCUCCAGCAGUAAGUUAAGGAGCGGGCAUGGGCACACCUCGGGGCAAUAAUUCCCUGUGAAGGGCAUUCAGAGCACUAUGGGAUGGAGAGGACAGGCUUCCCCAAAGACAUGUGACUGUGGGCCUGGAGAGUUAAAGGGAGCCAGUCCCGUGGAGGAUGCAGCACCGGCACCCCACACAGCGAGCACCACAAGUGCCAAGGCAAGCCUGGGCCAGGGCAAAGCCUAGCAGGUCCACCAUCUGGUGACCGGCGGGAUGGGAAUGGGAGCCUGGAGGAGGGCCCAGGCCACAGAGGGCCUUGGAGGGAGAAUGCACCCAGGAGGGAACUUAGGGUUUAUUCUCACAUCACUGGGAGCCUCUGAGGGUUUCAGCAGGAGUGGAGGCUGUCGAUUUAAUUGGAACUUAGGUGGCCUAUGCCUCAGCCCCUGUUUUCAAGCCCAGAGGAAGUAAAGAAUGGAAGGAAAACUGAAGAAGGGUGGCUCAAAUCCCAUCAGAAACUUAUCCGGUGUGUAAUGUUCCUGGAGAAGAGAAGCUCUUUCCUGAAAGUCAAAUCUACCACUGAGCCAGAGUGAUCUUUUUCUUUAAAU